rnacentral:sRNA from 1 species
GUGGAGUCAGUGGAGGCUCGGUCCUUGCUCUACCUGCAUGGGGGAAGACUCAGGGGUGUUGCCUAUUGACUGCGCCCCUUACAGAGAGGGAUCAGGACGGUAUGAGUCCUGGCUUCACCCGCUUAAAGCACUGUAAGUGGCCAAAUUCCUGGUCCCCACAUGAUUUCUAAAGGGGUUCGAGUUGUCACUCAUUAUCCAGCAGUGGAUGGGGAGGGGGAACAGGAGACUGGGGACGUGGGAAAUGCAGCUGGAAGAGACCCUCGCGCUAGAGGGUCCAGGCCCUGACUUCACGCCCCGCCAUCGCUCCCCAGCUGACCUCGUGCGUCCACGCGUCCUGCGCGCUCCUGUACCCCAUGCGCUGGGAGCACGUGCUGAUCCCCACGCUGCCCCCACACCUGCUGGACUACUGCUGAUGCCCUCCUCUGCCAAGGACUCCCGGGCUCUGAGCGGCCGGCCCCGCUUUUCCGCAGAGAGUACGAGAAAAAGCCCUGGAGGACGUCGUGGUGCUGAACGUGGACGCCAAUACCUUGGAGACGACCUUUAACGACGUGCAGGCGCUGCCUCCAGACGUGGUGUCCCUGCUGAGGCUCCGGCUCAGGAAGGUCGCCCUGGCUCCCGGGGAAGGGGUGUCCCGUCUCUUCCUCAAAGCCCAGGCCCUGCUCUUCGGGGGGUACCGCGACGCACUCGUCUGCAGCCCGGGCCAGCCAGUGACCUUCAGUGAGGAAGCCUUCUUGGCCCAGAAGCCUGGGGCACCUCUUCAGGCCUUCCACCGGCGGGCUGUGCACCUGCAGCUGUUCAAACAGUUCAUCGAAGCCCGGCUGGAGAAGCUCAACAAGGGGGAGGGCUUCUCAGAUCAAUUCGAGCAGGAGAUCACUGGCUGCGGGGCCUCCUCAGGUGAGCCCUGAGUCCAGCCCCUGGGUCCCCCACUACCCACCACCAGCACCCCCAGCCUCAGCCAGCCUUCGGUGACCACCACACUCUCUCCUUACCCCAGGGGCCCUUCGAUCCUAUCAGCUCUGGGCCGACAAUCUAAAGAAAGGUGGUGGUGCCCUCCUGCACUCAGUCAAGGCCAAGACCCAACCAGCCGUCAAGAACAUGUACCGCUCGGCCAAGAGUGGCUUGAAGGGGGUGCAGAGCCUUCUAAUGUAUAAGGAUGGGGACUCUGUCCUGCAGAGGGGGGGCUCUCUGAGGGCCCCAGCCCUCACCAGCCGCUCAGACCGCCUGCAGCAACGCCUCCCAAUCACUCAGCACUUUGGAAAGAACCGGCCCCUUCGCCCCAGCAGGAGACGCCAGCUGGAAGAGGGAACUUCCGAGCCCCCAGGGGCGGGGACACCCCCGCUGAGCCCUGAGGAUGAGGGGUGCCCGUGGGCAGAAGAAGCUCUGGACAGCAGCUUCUUGGGGUCUGGAGAAGAACUGGAUUUGUUGAGCGAGAUUCUGGACAGUCUUAGCGUGGGAGCCAAGAGCGCAGGCAGCCUGAGACCGAGCCAGAGUUUAGACUGCUGUCACAGAGGAGACCUGGACAGCUGCUUCAGCCUGCCCAACAUACCAAGAUGGCAACCAGACGAUAAGAAACUACCAGAGCCGGAGCCCCAGCCCCUGUCCCUGCCAUCCCUGCAAAAUGCCUCGUCUUUGGAUGCCACCAGCUCUUCAAAGGACCCCAGGUCCCAGCUGAUACCCUCAGAGUCCGACCAAGAAGUCACGUCUCCAUCCCAGUCCUCAACAGCUUCUGCAGACCCAAGCAUCUGGGGGGACCCCGAACCCUCUCCUCUCACAGAGCCCCUAAUUCUUCAUCUCACCCCUUCCCACAAGGCACCUGAAGAUUCUAUAGCCCAGGAAAACCCCACUCCCUGGCUCUCCACUGCACCCACUGAGCCCAGCCCUCCAGAAAGCCCCCAAAUUCUGGCCCCCACAAAGCCCAACUUUGAUAUAGCCUGGACGUCCCAGCCCCUUGAUCCUUCCUCAGACCCCAGUUCUCUGAAGGAACCCAGAGCCCAGCCUCCCAAAGCCCUGCUGGCAGAGCACGCUCACCUCCAGCCACGGGAGGAACCAGGAGCCCUGAAUUCCCCUGCUACACCCACCAGCAACUGGCAAAAGCCCCAGCCCAGUAGCCGGCCCAGAGUCGCUGAUCUUAAGAAGUGCUUUGAGGGUUAAGAAUCAGGGGUCCAGGAGAGACCCCAGUCCCUCAAUAAAGCCACAAGAGCCCAAAAAAGCUGGUUUUUUUCCUGGUGAAUUUCUCUGGUGCCCUCACUCUGCUCGGAAAUCCAUCCCACCCACCUCUGUCCCUCCAAGGGCAGCCUCUCUAACUGGCUCCUAGCAGGGAAUUCCAGGAAGCCUCCUGGUCCUCUACAAUCCUGGCAACCUUACAAUUCCUCUCGGCAUUUGUCACUUCCAUCUCAGCUAAUGCACCCACCAGCUCAAACACACCAAUAAAGCUUUUGUUACAUCUCA